rnacentral:rRNA from 1 species
CAGCAGCCGCGGGAAUACAGAGGGUGCGAGCGUUAAUCGGAUUUACUGGGCGUAAAGCGUGCGUAGGCGGCUUUUUAAGUCGGAUGUGAAAUCCCUGAGCUUAACUUAGGAAUUGCAUUCGAUACUGGGAAGCUAGAGUAUGGGAGAGGAUGGUAGAAUUCCAGGUGUAGCGGUGAAAUGCGUAGAGAUCUGGAGGAAUACCGAUGGCGAAGGCAGCCAUCUGGCCUAAUACUGACGCUGAUGUACGAAAGCAUGGGGAGCAAACAGGAUUAGAUACCCCCGUAGUCCCUGUCUCUUAUAC